GAUGAACGCUGGCGGCGUGCCUAAUACAUGCAAGUCGAACGAAGAGGCGGGAAGCUGGCUCCUCGGACGUUAUCCGCAGACGUGUGAAUAGCGCAUGGAUAACCUACCUAAGAGGCGGAGAUAACUUCGGAAAGCCAGAGCUAAUACCAUGUAAUAUAUUAAAGCACGUUAUUCAAUAGUAAGGGACGGUUGUUCUGUCACUUGUAGAUGGAGCCUCGCCUCAUUAGCUAGUUGGUAAGGUAGCGGCUUACAAAGGCGACGAUUCGUAGCCGCCCUGAGAGGGUGACCGGCCACACUGGACCUGAGCAACGGCCAAGACUCCUACGGGAGGAAGAAGUAGGGAAUCUUCCGAAAUGGGGGAAAGCCUGCCGGAGAACAGCCGCGUGAGUGAUGAAGGUUUCCGGAUCGUAAACUCUUGUUAUUAGGGAAGAACAAAUGUGUAAGUAACUAUGCACGCUUUGACGGUACCUAACCAGAAAGCCACGGCUAACUACGUG
rnacentral:rRNA from 1 species